rnacentral:lncRNA from 1 species
UACGGAAAACCGAAGCUUACCGGCGGCGGUGCUCUCGGGUGCGGCGGCUCUCCGGUGAAGUUCGUGUUUUGGUGAUUCAGCUCUGAUCAACCUGUAGAGAGAAGAAUGGUGAUCACGGUGAUAUAAAAAUUGCAUUAAACGGAGGCCGGGAAGGGCCUCAUCGGAGGCAAAAACCGAGAAGGGGCGCGGCGGCGCCGCUGGCUUUCGGCCGUGUUUUCCGGCCGUUUGGCCGGGAUUUUGGCUCUGAUUUGGCCACUGGGGGGAUCAGCGUGGAAAAACGAGUCGGGGGUAUGAAUUUUACCUCGAUCGGUGGUCGAAAAUCCCUCCGGUGCGGCGGCGGGUGGCGGCGGCCGGCUUCUGGUUCGUCUUCUCCGGCGAGCGGCAGGCGGCUAGGGUUUGGGGUCUGGUGUGGGGGUUCUAUUUAUAACCCUUUGCCCUUUUGAUCUCAGCCGUCCAUUUUGAUUUAAUCU